CAGGUUCGUGUCCUGUUUUUCUAGAA
rnacentral:tRNA from 1 species